AUGGAUCCUGACCACGAAAGUAAACUUCUUGCCUUGGAGAAGGCAUUAUAUGAUGAAGGCGUGGAUCCACUCGACCUGCCUCUCUCCCUUUUGAAGGACAUCACGAAAAAUUUCUCUCAAGGUCAACAAAUUGGCAGUGGAGGGCUUGGAGAAGUUUACAAGGGAGAGCUUCGAAAUGGGAUGGUCGCAGUAAAGAAGCUUUUCCACUUUAUUGUCAUUGAUGAGAAGAAUUUCCAAAGUGAGGUUGAUUCUCUCUUAGGGGUCAGACACAAAAAUACAGUACGGUUUCUAGGAUACUGUUCCGAUACUCAACAAAUAAUGGAAAAAUUCAAUGGAGCAACUGUGUGGGCAGAACGACGGCAGAGAUUGCUCUGCUUUGAGUUUCUACCAAAAGGGAGCCUCGCCGACUAUAUUACAGAUCCAUCUUCUGGACUUCAGUGGGAAACACGAUAUCAGAUUAUUAAGGGCAUUUGUGAAGGUGUACAUUAUCUUCAUCAGCAGCAUAUCAUUCAUAUGGAUCUGAAGCCUCAAAAUAUACUACUAGAUGGUAAUAUGAUGCCCAAAAUUGCGGACUUUGGUCUAUCAAGGCGCCUAGGUGAAGAUCAAAGCUGGAUCAUCACAGAACACAUAGUUGCAACACAGUAG
rnacentral:rRNA from 1 species